AACGCACAUUGCACCCUCUGGUAUUCCGGAGGGUAUGCCUGUUUGAGCGUCAUUUCUCUCUCAAAGCGCAAGUUUUGGUAUUGAGUGGUGCUCUCUGGAGCUAACUUGAAAUAUUGUUGGUGUUGUGUGCUCCGAGCAGACUGAGUCCGCGUAAUGUAUUAGGUUCUGCCAACUCGUUACAGGAAUUCUCAGGUUUUGUGGGGAGCGCGGGCGACGCCUAACAAGCCGGGAUUUCUUUCUAGAACUCUAGGAGGAAGCCCAAAAAGUUUGACCUCAAAUCAGGUAGGACUACCCGCUGAACUUAA
rnacentral:rRNA from 1 species